rnacentral:lncRNA from 1 species
UAUGCUUUAUUUACACUCUUUAAAAUAAAUUAAAACAAGAAAAAAUGGUCAGUACGAAAUCCCCGCUCUUUCAGAAGGCAAUCUUCUUAUAUUAAAAACAAUAAUAGUAAAAAACAAAUUUCAACACAAGGUCGCUAUUCUAAAAUUAAGUGUCCUUCACAAAGUCCAAUUUCAAAAGAGUGAUCUCUCAUUAGUUUCAAAAGUAAGAUGUAUUGAUAUUUAAAUUUUAAAUCGGUGUUUUAUUUUUAAAUGUGUGUUAUUUUAAAAAAAAAUCCUAUUUUUAAUUAGGAGUAAGAAAAUGUUCAGACCGAUUAAUACGGGUUUACGGCCUAAGAGCUUCGCUAUACUGACAAGAAAAAAAAGGAUUGUACAUCAACAAUGUAAAUAAAUUUUAUCAAAGGAUAAUGCAUGUUCAUUAAAUCUUGAUGACAAAGGCAUGUUUCUUUAGACUUGUUUUGUUUUCUAAAUGUUAGUUGUAACUCAAAUUAGACAGUUGCUUGAUUGUUUUUAUUCUUUUUUGGUAUGGCUAGUUUUUGUUUCUAAUAUAGUUAGGAAUGACAACGAGGGGGAGAGAGACUAUUUUAAGUGUUACCAACUCCGCAUCUACAACUUCAAUACAAUCUCCGCACUUGCAUUUGUACUUGUCGGUAAUGACUUUUUAACAUCCACCUUCACACUCAACGGGGACAGGUUUCCCCGCUCCACUCCCACUUCCACUCAAAAAAUUAGAAUUUAUUUAUUCAUAGCAUCAAAAAUCAAUAAUUUGACUAAAUAGUAACAUUCAACCUAAGUUCUAAAAUUCAAAUAAUCAAAAUCAUUAAAAAUAAAUCAAAAUUAAUCAAGAAUCAUAAUAAACUAAAAUUAUUAUAAAUCAAGAAUAUAAACCAUAACAAAAUAAACCAUAUGAAAAGAGUUUUUUGUUACAGUAGAUUUCACAAUAAAUAAACUAUGGCAGAUUGUAGAACUUCCAUAUAAAUAAAUAAAUAAAUACAAUUGAUUUCAAAAUAGAGUGAAAAUAAAUAACACAAUGAGAUUGAAGGCCGAUGAUGUUCUGUCAACGAACUUAGCUUAUCAUGGGAAACAAGAAUGAAAGACUAGGUUGUUUUUCUUUUGUUACAAAAGGCAAGGCUGUGAAAUGGUAUCGAUUGAUAAUUCUUAAGAAUAUAAUCUGUUAAAUUAAUAAAAAAAACAAGUUAGAAUCACAAACAUACAAGCAAGAAUCACAAACGACAAACUGGAGACAAUGGAGAAAGCACGCGGAGGAGGACGAUCGACAGAGAAUAGAGACGAUGCUGGGAGGAGGACAAAGACGGCGCACAGAGGAGGACACGCAGAGGAGAACAUAGACGACACACGAAGGAGGACGAAGACAUCGCACAGACAUGAGGGAGGACGACUGGGACAAAAAAAGUGAGGGUAGAGAGUAUGGAUGACAACAUAACCUGCACUGGCAAGUACGCACCCAAACCCGUUUGUUUUGGGCAGAGAAAACCCGCUUUGAUUGGGUGCGGAUGAGGAUUUUCCCCAAAAUUAAAAUUCGACGGCGGGGUGAUACCAACUUGUAACUCAAUUUUCUCUAUGAAUUCUCAAUGAAAAUUAGUGAAACCAAUGUCUAUUUUGAAGAUAAUUAAGUCUAGUUUCAAAUAUGAUAUAAAUCAGUUCAAACCAUUAUCAACGAAGAAAGUUAUGAACAACAUACCUAAGGUGUAUCUUUGCUGGUUUAAAGACAACAUUAUACUAUUUUUAUUUCAAUCUUUAUAUUCUCAAUUUCAUAUGCUCAACUAAGUAAAAUAUCUUCAAAAUUCAGCAUAAAAUCAAUUAAUUACGAAUACUAAACAAUUAUCAUCUCAUCACCAAGCCAACCACAACACUCAAUAAUCAUAAUAAAACAACAACUGUUCAUAAUAAUUAAUACAAACACUUAAUAUGUAUUCUUAAUAUUCAUUGAUAUCAAAUCAAAAGGAUUAUCUCAUUACUCAAACAUGCAAAUCAUAAACAUUUAUUAGCAACAUAUAAUCAAGAUUUCUAAGCGCACAUAAGAGAGGUUUUAAGAAAAUUUUCUAUGUUACCUUUAAGAAUGAAAAUCAAAGGAGAUGAAAUCCACCAUUGUUGAGUUUUAUGUUUCCUUUUCAAACAUUCAAGAAUCCUAACUCAAAAGUUGACUCAUUCUUUCUCUAUUCCCCUUCCAUGGUUGAACCAUUAAUCUUCUAUAUCUUCUUGUUUUCUUGUCGUCAUUCUUCUUUAUUCUAUUCAUCCCUCACAUCUCCUUCCUCUAUCACAAUUUCCCUUGUCUCUUUUUUCUUUCUAUCAGCUCUCUUGUUAUUGCUUAUUUUAUUUUAUUUUAUUUUAUUUUCAUCUCAUCUCAACUCUC